rnacentral:rRNA from 1 species
AUUGAACGCUGGCGGCAGGCCUAACACAUGCAAGUCGAGCGAGCGGCGGACGGGUGAGUAAUGUAUGGGAAACUGCCCGAUGGCGGGGGAUAACUACUGGAAACGGUAGCUAAUACCGCAUACUAUCGGAUGUGCCCAGAUGGGAGUAGCUAGUAGGUGGGGGAAAGGCUCACCUAGGCGACGAUCCCUAGCUGGUCUGAGAGGAUGACCAGCCACACUGGAACUGAGACACGGUCCAGACUCCUACGGGAGGCAGCAGUGGGGAAUAUUGCACAAUGGGCGCAAGCCUGAUGCAGCCAUGCCGCGUGUAUGAAGAAGGCCUUAGGGUUGUAAAGUACUUUCAGCGGGGAGGCGUUACCCGCAGAAGAAGCACCGGCUAACUCCGUGCCAGCAGCCGCGGUAAUUC